AGUCGAACGAUGAAGCCCAGCUUGCUGGGUGGAUUAGUGGCGAACGGGUGAGUAACACGUGAGUAACCUGCCCUUAACUCUGGGAUAAGCCUGGGAAACUGGGUCUAAUACCGGAUAGGAGCGUCCACCGCAUGGUGGGUGUUGGAAAGAUUUAUCGGUUUUGGAUGGACUCGCGGCCUAUCAGCUUGUUGGUGAGGUAAUGGCUCACCAAGGCGACGACGGGUAGCCGGCCUGAGAGGGUGACCGGCCACACUGGGACUGAGACACGGCCCAGACUCCUACGGGAGGCAGCAGUGGGGAAUAUUGCACAAUGGGCGCAAGCCUGAUGCAGCGACGCCGCGUGAGGGAUGACGGCCUUCGGGUUGUAAACCUCUUUCAGUAGGGAAGAAGCGAAAGUGACGGUACCUGCAGAAGAAGCACCGGCUAACUACGUGCCAGCAGCCGCGGUAAUACGUAGGGUGCGAGCGUUAUCCGGAAUUAUUGGGCGUAAAGAGCUCGUAGGCGGUUUGUCGCGUCUGUCGUGAAAGUCCGGGGCUUAACCCAGGAUCUGCGGUGGGUACGGGCAGACUAGAGUGCAGUAGGGGAGACUGGAAUUCCUGGUGUAGCGGUGGAAUGCGCAGAUAUCAGGAGGAACACCGAUGGCGAAGGCAGGUCUCUGGGCUGUAACUGACGCUGAGGAGCGAAAGCAUGGGGAGCGAACAGGAUUAGAUACCCUGGUAGUCCAUGCCGUAAACGUUGGGCACUAGGUGUGGGGACCAUUCCACGGUUUCCGCGCCGCAGCUAACGCAUUAAGUGCCCCGCCCGGGGAGUACGGCCGCAAGGCUAAAACUCAAAAGGAAUUGACGGGGGCCCGCACAAGCGGCGGAGCAUGCGGAUUAAUUCGAUGCAACGCGAAGAACCUUACCAAGGCUUGACAUGUUCUCGAUCGCCGUAGAGAUACGGUUUCCCCUUUGGGGCGGGUUCACAGGUGGUGCAUGGUUGUCGUCAGCUCGUGUCGUGAGAUGUUGGGUUAAGUCCCGCAACGAGCGCAACCCUCGUUCCAUGUUGCCAGCACGUAGUGGUGGGGACUCAUGGGAGACUGCCGGGGUCAACUCGGAGGAAGGUGAGGACGACGUCAAAUCAUCAUGCCCCUUAUGUCUUGGGCUUCACGCCUGCUACAAUGGCCGGUACAAUGGGUUGCGAUACUGUGAGGUGGAGCUAAUCCCAAAAAGCCGGUCUCAGUUCGGAUUGGGGUCUGCAACUCGACCCCAUGAAGUUGGAGUCGCUAGUAAUCGCAGAUCAGCAACGCUGCGGUGAAUACGUUCCCGGGCCUUGUACA
rnacentral:rRNA from 1 species